rnacentral:rRNA from 1 species
GAUGAACGCUGGCGGCGUGCCUAAUACAUGCAAGUCGAGCGAACGGACGAGAAGCUUGCUUCUCUGAUGUUAGCGGCGGACGGGUGAGUAACACGUGGAUAACCUACCUAUAAGACUGGGAUAACUUCGGGAAACCGGAGCUAAUACCGGAUAAUAUUUUGAACCGCAUGGUUCAAAAGUGAAAGACGGUCUUGCUGUCACUUAUAGAUGGAUCCGCGCUGCAUUAGCUAGUUGGUAAGGUAACGGCUUACCAAGGCAACGAUGCAUAGCCGACCUGAGAGGGUGAUCGGCCACACUGGAACUGAGACACGGUCCAGACUCCUACGGGAGGCAGCAGUAGGGAAUCUUCCGCAAUGGGCGAAAGCCUGACGGAGCAACGCCGCGUGAGUGAUGAAGGUCUUCGGAUCGUAAAACUCUGUUAUUAGGGAAGAACAUAUGUGUAAGUAACUGUGCACAUCUUGACGGUACCUAAUCAGAAAGCCACGGCUAACUACGUGCCAGCAGCCGCGGUAAUACGUAGGUGGCAAGCGUUAUCCGGAAUUAUUGGGCGUAAAGCGCGCGUAGGCGGUUUUUUAAGUCUGGUGUGAAAGCCCACGGCUCAACCGUGGAGGGUCAUUGGAAACUGGAAAACUUGAGUGCAGAAGAGGAAAGUGGAAUUCCAUGUGUAGCGGUGAAAUGCGCAGAGAUAUGGAGGAACACCAGUGGCGAAGGCGACUUUCUGGUCUGUAACUGACGCUGAUGUGCGAAAGCGUGGGGAUCAAACAGGAUUAGAUACCCUGGUAGUCCACGCCGUAAACGAUGAGUGCUAAGUGUUAGGGGGUUUCCGCCCCUUAGUGCUGCAGCUAACGCAUUAAGCACUCCGCCUGGGGAGCACGACCGCAAGGUUGAAACUCAAAGGAAUUGACGGGGACCCGCACAAGCGGUGGAGCAUGUGGUUUAAUUCGAAGCAACGCGAAGAACCUUACCAAAUCUUGACAUCCUUUGACAACUCUAGAGAUAGAGCCUUCCCCUUCGGGGGGGCAAAGUGACAGGUGGUGCAUGGUUGUCGUCAGCUCGUGUCGUGAGAUGUUGGGUUAAGUCCCGCAACGAGCGCAACCCUUAAGCUUAGUUGCCAUCAUUAAGUUGGGCACUCUAAGUUGACUGCCGGUGACAAACCGGAGGAAGGUGGGGAUGACGUCAAAUCAUCAUGCCCCUUAUGAUUUGGGCUACACACGUGCUACAAUGGACAAUACAAAGGGCAGCGAAACCGCGAGGUCAAGCAAAUCCCAUAAAGUUGUUCUCAGUUCGGAUUGUAGUCUGCAACUCGACUACAUGAAGCUGGAAUCGCUAGUAAUCGUAGAUCAGCAUGCUACGGUGAAUACGUUCCCGGGUCU